rnacentral:rRNA from 1 species
GACGAACGCUGGCGGCGUGCUUAACACAUGCAAGUCGAACGGAAAGGCCCUGCUUGCAGGGUACUCGAGUGGCGAACGGGUGAGUAACACGUGGGUGAUCUGCCCUGCACUUCGGGAUAAGCCUGGGAAACUGGGUCUAAUACCGGAUAUGACCUUCCAUGUAGUGUGGGGGGUGGAAAGAUUUAUCGGUGUGGGAUGAGCCCGCGGCCUAUCAGCUUGUUGGCGGGGUAAUGGCCUACCAAGGCGUCGACGGGUAGCCGGCCUGAGAGGGUGGACGGCCACAUUGGGACUGAGAUACGGCCCAGACUCCUACGGGAGGCAGCAGUGGGGAAUAUUGCACAAUGGGCGGAAGCCUUAUGCAGCGACGCCGCGUGGGGGAUGACGGCCUUCGGGUUGUAAACCUCUUUCGACAGGGACGAAGCUUCGGUGACGGUACCUGUAUAAGAAGCACCGGCGAACUACGU